UUCCUACGGGAGGCUGCAGUGGGGAAUCUUAGACAAUGGGGGAAACCCUGAUCUAGCCAUGCCGCGUGGACGAUGAAGGCCUUAGGGUUGUAAAGUCCUUUCAGCUGGGAAGAUAAUGACGGUACCAGCAGAAGAAGCCCCGGCUAACUCCGUGCCAGCAGCCGCGGUAAUACGGAGGGGGCUAGCGUUGUUCGGAAUUACUGGGCGUAAAGCGCGCGUAGGCGGAUUGGAAAGUUGGGGGUGAAAUCCCAGGGCUCAACCCUGGAACUGCCUUCAAAACUCCCAGUCUGGAGUUCGAGAGAGGUGAGUGGAAUUCCGAGUGUAGAGGUGAAAUUCGUAGAUAUUCGGAGGAACACCAGUGGCGAAGGCGGCUCACUGGCUCGAUACUGACGCUGAGGUGCGAAAGCGUGGGGAGCAAACAGGAUUAGAUACCCCUGUAGUCAA
rnacentral:rRNA from 1 species